rnacentral:rRNA from 1 species
CCUACGGGAGGCAGCAGUGGGGAAUAUUGGACAAUGGGCGAAAGCCUGAUCCAGCCAUGCCGCGUGUGUGAAGAAGGUCUUCGGAUUGUAAAGCACUUUAAGUUGGGAGGAAGGGUUGUAGAUUAAUACUCUGCAAUUUUGACGUUACCGACAGAAUAAGCACCGGCUAACUCUGUGCCAGCAGCCGCGGUAAUACAGAGGGUGCAAGCGUUAAUCGGAAUUACUGGGCGUAAAGCGCGCGUAGGUGGUUUGUUAAGUUGGAUGUGAAAUCCCCGGGCUCAACCUGGGAACUGCAUUCAAAACUGACUGACUAGAGUAUGGUAGAGGGUGGUGGAAUUUCCUGUGUAGCGGUGAAAUGCGUAGAUAUAGGAAGGAACACCAGUGGCGAAGGCGACCACCUGGACUAAUACUGACACUGAGGUGCGAAAGCGUGGGGAGCAAACAGGAUUAGAUACCCUGGUAGUCCACGCCGUAAACGAUGUCAACUAGCCGUUGGAAGCCUUGUAGUCUUUAGUUGGUCGCAGCGACGACGAUAAGUUAGUACCGCCGUCGGGAGGUAACGGUCCGGCGAACGGUUAAAACGUUAACGUUAAAGUUAGUAAGUUAGUUACGGCGUGGAGGACGUUCGCCGACGGACGACGACGAGGGGAGGUUAGG